rnacentral:rRNA from 1 species
UCGAACGAACCGCGACUAGGUGCUUGCACUUGGUCAAGGUGAGUGGCGAACGGGUGAGUAACACGUGGGUAACCUACCUCAUAGUGGGGGAUAACAGUCGGAAACGACUGCUAAUACCGCAUAGGACAUGGAAUCACAUGAUUCAGUGAGGAAAGGUGGCGCAAGCUAUCGCUAAGAGAUGGACCCGCGGUGCAUUAGCUAGUUGGUAGGGUAACGGCCUGCCAAGGCGAUGAUGCAUAGCCGACCUGAGAGGGUGAUCGGCCACAUUGGGACUGAGACACGGCCCAAACUCCUACGGGAGGCAGCAGUAGGGAAUCUUCCGCAAUGGACGCAAGUCUGACGGAGCAACGCCGCGUGAGUGAAGAGGGUCUUCGGAUCGUAAAGCUCUGUUGUUAGAGAAGAACAGCGCAUAGAGUAACUGCUACGCGUGUGACGGUAUCUAACCAGAAGGCCACGGCUAACUACGUGCCAGCAGCCGCGGUAAUACGUAGGUGGCGAGCGUUGUCUGGAUUUAUUGGGCGUAAAGGGAGUGUAGGCGGUCUUUUAAGUCUGAUGUGAAAGCCCACGGCUCAACCGUGGAGGGUCAUUGGAAACUGGGAGACUUGAGUGCAGAAGAGGAGAGCGGAAUUCCAUGUGUAGCGGUGAAAUGCGUAGAUAUAUGGAGGAACACCAGUGGCGAAGGCGGCUCUCUGGUCUGUAACUGACGCUGAGGCUCGAAAGCGUGGGGAGCAAACAGGAUUAGAUACCCUGGUAGUCCACGCCGUAAACGAUGAGUGCUAAGUGUUGGAGGGGUUCCACCCUUCAGUGCUGGAGUUAACG